rnacentral:rRNA from 1 species
AUUGAACGCUGGCGGCAGGCUUAACACAUGCAAGUCGAACGAGUGGCGGACGGGUGAGUAAUGCUUGGGAAUCUGGCUUAUGGAGGGGGAUAACGACGGGAAACUGUCGCUAAUACCGCGUACCAUAGGAUGAGCCCAAGUGGGAUUAGGUAGUGGGUGGGGUAAUGGCCUACCAAGCCGACGAUCUCUAGCUGGUCUGAGAGGAUGACCGGCAACACCGGGACAGGGACACGGCCCGGACACGUACGGGAGGCAGAAGUGGGGAAUAUUGCGCAAUGGGGACAACCUGACGCAGCCAUGCCGCGUGAAUGAAGAAGGCCAUCGGGUUGGAAAGGUCAUUCGGUGACGAGGCGUUAAGAACAGAAGAAGGACCGGCUAACUCCGUGCGAGCAGCCGCGGUAAUAC